rnacentral:rRNA from 1 species
AUUGACCUACGGGGCGCAGCAGUAGGGAAUUUUGCGCAAUGGGGGAAACCCUGACGCAGCAACGCCGCGUGAUCGAUGAAGCCCUUCGGGGUGUAAAGAUCUGUCAGUGGGGACGAAACCUGACGGUACCCACAGAGGAAGCACCGGCUAACUCCGUGCCAGCAGCCGCGGCAAUACGGGGGGUGCAAGCGUUGUCCGGAAUCAUUGGGCGUAAAGAGUUCGUAGGUGGCACGUUAAGUCUGGUGUUGAAGU